rnacentral:lncRNA from 1 species
CUCCUAAUAUAUCAUAGACAACUUGUGUGUGUGUGGUAAGUAUUUCUCAUCUAUGAAAAGAAGGGGGAAAAAAAAAAACAUGACAGUCUCUAGAUGGACAGAAAACGGUACCGUAUUGAGACAUCCAUAGGUGAUAAUGAGGAAACACACGAGGGAAGAUAUCGUUGGACUUCAGAUCCAGAACCAAAAGGUCAGCUUCUUUCUUCAUCUUCUUUAUCUCGCUUAGGUUUCCGUACACGAAUUUGUACUUUGGGCCUGAGAUUCCUUGUUUCUUGAAUCUUUUUGAUAGCAUCAAUGGCCGCAAAAGGAUGAUCCAACAAGCUUUCCAUAUCUUGGAAACACCAAAGAGCAGAAGAAUAAGUGCUAAGAGAUUGAUCGUGCUUAUAAG